rnacentral:rRNA from 1 species
UCUGAGGACCCCUGCCCUAAAAACAUCAGAUCCAUUCUGAUUUUGGAAGCUAUGCAGCAUCAGACCUGGUUGGUACUUGGAUGGGAGACCACCAACGACUACCAGGUGUUGUAGGCU